GAGUUUGAUCAUGGCUCAGAUUGAACGCUGGCGGCAGGCCUAACACAUGCAAGUCGAGCGGAUGACGGGAGCUUGCUCCUUGAUUCAGCGGCGGACGGGUGAGUAAUGCCUGGGAAUCUGCCUGGUAGUGGGGGACAACGUUUCGAAAGGAACGCUAAUACCGCAUACGUCCUACGGGAGAAAGCAGGGGACCUUCGGGCCUUGCGCUAUCAGAUGAGCCUAGGUCGGAUUAGCUAGUUGGUGGGGUAAUGGCUCACCAAGGCGACGAUCCGUAACUGGUCUGAGAGGAUGAUCAGUCACACUGGAACUGAGACACGGUCCAGACUCCUACGGGAGGCAGCAGUGGGGAAUAUUGGACAAUGGGCGAAAGCCUGAUCCAGCCAUGCCGCGUGUGUGAAGAAGGUCUUCGGAUUGUAAAGCACUUUAAGUUGGGAGGAAGGGCAGUAAGUUAAUACCUUGCUGUUUUGACGUUACCGACAGAAUAAGCACCGGCUAACUCUGUGCCAGCA
rnacentral:rRNA from 2 species